rnacentral:rRNA from 1 species
UGGGGAAUAUUGGACAAUGGGGGAAACCCUGAUCCAGCAAUGCCGCGUGGGUGAAGACGGCCUGCGGGUUGUAAAGCCCUUUAGGCGGGGAGGAAAGGCAUCGUGUAAAUAAUGCGAUGCUCUGACGUUACCCGCAGAAUAAGCACCGGCUAACUCCGUGCCAGCAGCCGCGGUAAUACGGAGGGUGCGAGCGUUAAUCGGAAUUACUGGGCGUAAAGCGUGCGUAGGCGGUUUGGUCAGUCAGCCGUGAAAGCCCCGGGCUUAACCUGGGAACGGCGGUUGAGACGGCCAGACUAGAGUGGGCUAGAGGAUCGUGGAAUUCCGGGUGUAGCGGUGAAAUGCGUAGAGAUCCGGAGGAACACCGAUGGCGAAGGCAGCGGUCUGGGGCCACACUGACGCU